rnacentral:rRNA from 1 species
CUACGGGAUGCAGCAGUGGGGAAUCUUGGACAAUGGGCGCAAGCCUGAUCCAGCCAUGCCGCGUGAGUGAAGAAGGACGGAGGGACGGAAAGAUCUUUCGCCAGAGAUGAUAAUGACAGUAUCUGGUAAAGAAACCCCGGCUAACUCCGUGCCAGCAGCCGCGGUAAUACGGAGGGGGUUAGCGUUGUUCGGAAUUACUGGGCGUAAAGCGCGCGUAGGCGGAUUAGUCAGUCAGAGGUGAAAUCCCAGGGCUCAACCCUGGAACUGCCUUUGAUACUGCUAGUCUUGAGUUCGAGAGAGGUGAGUGGAAUUCCGAGUGUAGAGGUGAAAUUCGUAGAUAUUCGGAGGAACACCAGUGGCGAAGGCGGCUCACUGGCUCGAUACUGACGCUGAGGUGCGAAAGUGUGGGGAGCAAACAGGAUUAGAUACCCUCGUAGUC